rnacentral:rRNA from 1 species
UACAGAGGUCCCAAGCGUUGUUCGGAUUCAUUGGGCGUAAAGGUGCGUAGGUGGCGCUGUAAGUCGGGUGUGAAAUUUCGGAGCUUAACUCCGAAACUGCAUUCGAUACUGCGGUGCUUGAGGACUGGAGAGGAGACUGGAAUUCAUGGUGUAGCAGUGAAAUGCGUAGAGAUCAUGAGGAAGACCAGUGGCGAAGGCGGGUCUCUGGACAGUUCCUGACACUGAGACACGAAGGCCAGGGGAGCAAACGGG